rnacentral:rRNA from 1 species
CCUACGGGUGGCUGCAGUGGGGAAUAUUGGACAAUGGGCGAAAGCCUGAUCCAGCCAUGCCGCGUGUGUGAAGAAGGCCUUCGGGUUGUAAAGCACUUUCAGUGGGGAAGAAAGCCUUGGGGCUAAUACCCUCGAGGAAGGACAUCACCCACAGAAGAAGCACCGGCUAACUCCGUGCCAGCAGCCGCGGUAAUACGGAGGGUGCGAGCGUGAAUCGGAAUUACUGGGCGUAAAGCGCGCGUAGGCGGUCUGAUAAGCCGGUUGUGAAAGCCCCGGGCUCAACCUGGGAACGGCAUCCGGAACUGUCAGGCUAGAGUGCAGGAGAGGAAGGUAGAAUUCCCGGUGUAGCGGUGAAAUGCGUAGAGAUCGGGAGGAAUACCAGUGGCGAAGGCGGCCUUCUGGACUGACACUGACGCUGAGGUGCGAAAGCGUGGGUAGCAAACAGGAUUAGAUACCCGUGUAGUC